rnacentral:rRNA from 1 species
GUAGUCCACGCUGUAAACGAUGAGAACUAGUCGUCGGGAGGGUCUGCCAUCCGGUGACGUAGCUAACGCGUUAAGUUCUCCGCCUGGGGAGUACGGCCGCAAGGUUGAAACUCAAAGUAAUUGACGGGGGCCCGCACAAGCGGUGGAGCAUGUGGUUUAAUUCGAUGCAACGCGAAGAACCUUACCUGGCCUUGACAUCCUGCGAACUUUCUAGAGAUAGAUUGGUGCCUUCGGGAGCGCAGAGACAGGUGCUGCAUGGCUGUCGUCAGCUCGUGUCGUGAGAUGUUGGGUUAAGUCCCGCAACGAGCGCAACCCUUGCCCUUAGUUGCCAGCACGUAAUGGUGGGAACUCUAAGGGGACUGCCGGUGACAAACCGGA